AUUGAACGCUGGCGGCAGGCCUAACACAUGCAAGUCGAGCGAGCGGCGGACGGGUGAGUAAUGUCUGGGAAACUGCCUGAUGGAGGGGGAUAACUACUGGAAACGGUAGCUAAUACCGCAUACCAUCAGAUGUGCCCAGAUGGGAUUAGCUGGUAGGUGGGGUAACGGCUCACCUAGGCGACGAUCCCUAGCUGGUCUGAGAGGAUGGCCAGCCACACUGGAACUGAGACACGGCCCAGACUCCUACGGGAGGCAGCAGUGGGGAAUAGUGCACAAUGGGAGCAAGUCUGAUGCAGCAAUGCCGCGUGUGUGAAGAAGGCCUUCGGGUGGUAAAGCACUUUCAGCGGGGAGGCGUUACCCGCAGAAGAAGCACCGGCUAACUCCGUGCCAGCAGCCGCGGUAAUUC
rnacentral:rRNA from 1 species